CCUACGGGUGGCAGCAGUGAGGAAUAUUGGUCAAUGGCCGGAAGGCUGAACCAGCCAAGCCGCGUGAAGGACGAAGGUGCCAAGCAUUGUAAACUUCUUUUGUCAAGGGACAAAAUCAGGCUCGAGAGCCUGACCGAGGGUACUUGAAGAAAAAGCAUCGGCUAACUCCGUGCCAGCAGCCGCGGUAAUACGGAGGAUGCGAGCGUUAUCCGGAUGAAUUGGGUUAAAGGGGUGCGUAGGCGGACUGUUAAGUCAGCGGUAAAAGCCCGGGGCUAAACCCCGGCGAGCCGUUGAAACUGGCUGGCUUGAGAUGUCGAGAGGUAUGCGGAAUGCGGAGUGUAGCGGUGAAAUGCUUAGAGAUGGCGAAGAACUCCGAUUGCGAAGGCAGCAUACCGGCGGCGAUCUGACGCUGAGGCACGAAAGCGUGGGUAUCGAACAGGAUUAGAUACCCCAGUAGUC
rnacentral:rRNA from 1 species